AAAGAUUAAGCCAUGCAUGUCUAAGUAUAAACAACUUUGUACUGUGAAACUGCGAAUGGCUCAUUAAAUCAGUUAUAGUUUAUUUGAUGGUAUCUUACUACAUGGAUAACUGUGGUAAUUCUAGAGCUAAUACAUGCAAUCAAGCCCCGACUUCCGGAAGGGGUGUAUUUAUUAGAUAAAAAACCAACGCGGCUCGCCGCUCCCUUGGUGAUUCAUAAUAACUUCUCGAAUCGCAUGGCCUUGUGCCGGCGAUGCUUCAUUCAAAUAUCUGCCCUAUCAACUUUCGAUGGUAGGAUAGUGGCCUACCAUGGUUU
rnacentral:rRNA from 1 species